GACGAACGCUGGCGGCGUGCCUAAUACAUGCAAGUAGAACGCUGAAGCGAGGAGCUUGCUCUUCUUGGAUGAGUUGCGAACGGGUGAGUAACGCGUAGGUAACCUGCCUUGUAGCGGGGGAUAACUAUUGGAAACGAUAGCUAAUACCGCAUAACAAUGGAUGACACAUGUCAUUUAUUUGAAAGGGGCAAUUGCUCCACUACAAGAUGGACCUGCGUUGUAUUAGCUAGUAGGUGAGGUAACGGCUCACCUAGGCGACGAUACAUAGCCGACCUGAGAGGGUGAUCGGCCACACUGGGACUGAGACACGGCCCAGACUCCUACGGGAGGCAGCAGUAGGGAAUCUUCGGCAAUGGGGGCAACCCUGACCGAGCAACGCCGCGUGAGUGAAGAAGGUUUUCGGAUCGUAAAGCUCUGUUGUAAGUCAAGAACGAGUGUGAGAGUGGAAGGUUCACACUGUGACGGUAGCUUACCAGAAAGGGACGGCUAACUACGUG
rnacentral:rRNA from 1 species